GCCCUUGGAGGAGCCCGCGGCCUAUCAGCUUGUUGGUGGGGUAAUGGCCUACCAAGGCGACGACGGGUAGCCGGCCUGAGAGGGUGAUCGGCCACACUGGGACUGAGAUACGGCCCAGACUCCUACGGGAGGCAGCAGUGGGGAAUAUUGCACAAUGGGCGCAAGCCUGAUGCAGCGACGCCGCGUGGGGGAUGAAGGCCUUCGGGUUGUAAACUCCUUUCGCUAUCGACGAAGCCACUUGUGGUGACGGUAGGUAGAUAAGAAGCACCGGCUAACUACGUGCCAGCAGCCGCGGCCGAAGGGC
rnacentral:rRNA from 1 species